CAGCCCUGGAAAAAGCCAGAAGAAAUUAGAAAGCAGAGGCUUUGUGCAAAUGGAGUGAGCUUCUUCAGGUUUGCAAAGGUUUAACCGAGGGCAGAAUUGGGCUUGCUGCCUCUGCAUUGUUUCCCCAGCCCAUAAUUUUGGGGUAAACUUAAGUUUUGGAUUAAUCACUGACCUUUAGCUUUGAAGAAAAACAGAACUUCUGCAUGAAAUUGCCAAAAACGAGAGUAACAAUUUGUAAUUGCUUCAUUUUGCUCCUGGAAACGCAGGUGCAGCCGGGCCUCCAAGGUGCUCUGCACAGCAAGGGAGUGGGCUGUUCUCCAGGGAGCACUGAUCCAAGGCAAUAAGGCAGACAAAGCGAGCACAGGGAAUACAGGCAGUUGGUGGAGGACUGACAAGUGGUGCACAGUGGGACACAGGAGGCACUCGCUCCCUGCCCCGUGCACUGCAUCAUUACACCUUGCAAAUAACAAACCUCCUCCGUACAGCAGGAUACCCAGACGUGGUGGUGUUCCAUGGAGCAGUGGGCCAUGUCCUGAUGCCCAUGGGCUGCAGUGAGUGGUGCUGGUGGAAGAGCAGAGCCAGCAGUCCUCUGCCCAUGAGCACAGUUGGGAGUACAGCAGUCUGAGGUCAUAAAUGCACAAAAAUGACUUGAAAUAAAAUGGUCUGCAAUUGAAUUGCACAAAACUUUGUCUUGUGCCCAUGAAAAUGUUGGGACAGGUGGCAAAGACAGGUCAGAGAUGGAUGGGUCUGAAACGUUACAUAGAUGGAAGAAAUCAGCAGUGCAGAGAGUCCCAAGAGAAAGAGAUGUCCCCCACAGAGGCAGCUGUUUCUCUACCAUGAAAGUGUUUCCAUAAAAGCUCGGGACAGCCACAUUAAGGAAGAUGGCCUGAAAGAAAACCAUGCAAAUUAUACUGAGCACACCUAAAAACACUGUCCUGGGGCAAAACAGUGAGCUCACUGCAGAAACGAGGGAGCUGCCGACAGGGUCAGUGGAGUAGAAGCAGAGGAGGUGCCGAAAUCUGGGGCAUAC
ensembl:lncRNA